AAGACUAUACUUUCAGGGAUCAUUUCUACAGAUUAUUCCUAGAAAAGUUCCUCUGCUCUGCAGAGCACCUAAACCACGGGGAGGAGCCAGCGCAUCCUCUCCUAGGCGGGAAGCCGGAUCCUGGUGUUGCUUUUGCAACUGCCUUUGUCACUGAUGAUGGUCCUUCUAUUCCCUUGGAAGAGGAAAAGGGUGAGGACGACGGCUGAGUGGU